rnacentral:rRNA from 1 species
AUUGAACGCUGGCGGCAGGCCUAACACAUGCAAGUCGAACGGUAGCACAGAGAGCUUGCUCUCGGGUGACGAGUGGCGGACGGGUGAGUAUGUCUGGGAAACUGCCCGAUGGAGGGGGAUAACUACUGGAAACGGUAGCUAAUACCGCAUAACGUCGCAAGACCAAAGUGGGGGACCUUCGGGCCUCACACCAUCGGAUGUGCCCAGAUGGGAUUAGCUAGUAGGUGGGGUAAUGGCUCACCUAGGCGACGACCCCUAGCUGGUCUGAGAGGAGGACCAGCCACACUGGAACUGAGACACGGUCCAGACUCCUACGGGAGGCAGCAGUGGGGAAUAUUGCACAAUGGGCGCAAGCCUGAUGCAGCCAUGCCGCGUGUAUGAAGAAGGCCUUCGGGUUGUAAAGUACUUUCAGCGGGGAGGAAGGCGGUGAAGUUAAUAACUUCACCGAUUGACGUUACCCGCAGAAGAAGCACCGGCUAACUCCGUGCCAGCAGCCGCCGUAA